rnacentral:lncRNA from 1 species
GAUAUUUAGACCUGCCAAAGCAGUAUAACUUCAUUGUCUGGAAUUUGGUUAAUUCCAAUGCAAAUACAAAAAUCAAAUACGUGAACUGAGCUUUGAAAAUAUUUUCAUUUUUGAGGAUUUUCAUUGUUAUGGGAUUGAGCCUGUAGAAGUCUCUGUGUAAGCUACAUAGAGCAAAUCUAAUCUACUCACACUGAAGUCAGGGCUCUGUAAAAGACUGUGGGAACAUUCAUUCUCCACUCUCUCAGAGACUCUUUUAGAUGGCACUGGCUGAGGCAGAAUGAAUACAGCUGCUGAUUCUGAUCUCACACUGGGUAUAUCCCUGAGUGCUGGAAAAAACAUCACCCUCAGAAGUGUGCAUUCAGCCAGCUGCCUUUGGAGAGAGCUGGGAAGGGUGCAAAGUGGCAUGUCCUUUACCAGUCACUCUUUCUGGGCCAAUGCUUAUCCAGAAAUGAGACAGAACUAUGGGUUUACUGCAAAUGACCAGCAUCCGCAAAGUGAUCAAGACUACCAACUUUGGUGUUCACUCUGCAAUGAAAAAAUGAACCAGCAGAAGGUGAAUGUGAAAGACUAAGAAGAGCCCUGCAGAAAACCCGUUAGCCCAUGUUUUCAUCUGUAAUGUGGAUGUGGGAUAGGAAGAGGGACAACGACAUAGUACCGACCAGGUUCCAGAAACUAUUCCAAGUGCUUUACGUGAUAAAAAUCUCUUAAUUGUCUCAACGACCAUACGAAGUAUAUCUCUAGUGUUGCCCCUAUUUUAUAGAUGACAAAACCUUACUGAUAUCUGUAUAGCUAGUAAGUAGGAGAGACAGGAUUCAAUCUGUCAGCCCAACUCUGCCGGUGCCCGUGUCCCUGCUCUGUGAUCCUGACAGGCAGCCACAGCCAGGAGUCCGUCCUUGUUUUAGAUAUUUCCCAUGUCUGCUGCUCAACUAGACCCUAACGGUGGAUUCUUGGUACAUCCUUACCCAAGGAUAACCCAUAAGUUUUCAUGACAUUACCACGGACUCGUCUUGCUUGUGAAACCAAGUAAUAGUAAAAACAGAAGAAUCAUGUGUUAAAAAUUUUUUGAAGUAAAUGAUUCUGUCAUCAUUAUUCUUAAAGAAAGUGAUGUACCCAAGGUCACACACUUAGUCACUGGUCAGUCCUGGGGCAAACACCCCUUGAUGUCCAGCCCUUGAGUCAGGAUGAUUGCUUCAUCUAGAAGGCACCAUGGGCACUCUGCCUGAAUCCAGGAACCUCUGGAGUUGUAUAUGGCUCUGUCCAAGACAAAGGAAUCCGCUGUACCAGAUCCACAGAAGCCCUGGCUCUAAAUUAAAAACAGCACAACAACAACAUUGCAGCAACAACAAAAUAGUAAUACAAUAAAAGGUGGGAAGACCUCGAGAGCAUAAAAAUUUCCUUAAACUGAUCAUCAAGGAAAGGAAAGGGAGGAUUCCUUCUUUAAAGAGGCAAGUGCCUGCCAGCAGGAACCUAAAACUCAUUAUUAUUCUGUAUUUUCUUUUUUCAUGACUAAAAAGUUUUUCUAUCCUCCCCCUUCCUAUCCCUAUCAAAAGACUACCCCCUCCACAAGACAAUCACAAACUUUAAAAGUAGCAAGCCCUCACUUCAAACAAAAUGUAAAAAUAAAAAUUCAAA